UAAAAGUUAGUUUGAAAGUUGUCAGUGAAGAUGAUUUCAGUUGUAAAUAGAGAAAAUCCAACUCAAACUGGUUUAUAUAGCAAAAGGGAUUUAUUAGCUCCUGAGUAAGGUGGGAACACCAAAGACUUCGUUUAUUUUGACCUGUCUGAUCCACAUGUCACAUUCCUCAAAGGCUGACUCCUCUUCAUGGGACAAAGUGAUUAGUUGAAACCUGCUUCCUCAUCCCUCCCGCUGUGCUACAUGCUUCCUCACUCCUAUCCCAGAAGAGAGGAAAGAACAUCUUGAAAAUCCUUCAGAAGAGCAAAGAGCCAUAUUUCUCAGAGGCUCCCAGCAAACGAAUCUUCAUGCUUCUAGACCCAAAUUUGCUUGCAUGCCCAUCCUUUCACCAAAAUCUGGGGCCGAGAAUAGGGCCACACUAGUCUGAAUCGGAUGUCCUGCCAAGGGCCAGGGGUGGAGCCAGCCUCAAAUGAAGUGCUUGGGCUGGGUAGGGUUGGCAUUAAUACCCAAUGAAAGUUGGGGUAAUCACCAAGAGAAGAAGAAAUGGAUGCCGGGGAGUCACCUUCUCGUCCAUUCACUGCGGAGACUGUUGCUUUCAAAAGUUUCUUUCAGAGAAGACACUUUGGUCUCUACGAAUGCCAAACCUCAAACAUUAUAAGUAAGACAUUCAUUUUGUCCUAAUGUCUUGGGAGAAGCUCAUUCUAGUUCUCGUUGAAGGGUUCUACUCUGACUCUCCCCAAUAUCUCUUCAUUCAUUCAUUCCUUCAUUCAAUAUUUAUUGAAAAGCAAGAAAAGAAAUGCAUUCCAAAUUUAAGAAGAGCCUGUGGGAAGGCCAGGAUGAAAAAGGGCAUGGUGUGUCCUCAAGGAACUGAAGGAAAUGCGUUACACCAAAAGAGAAGAGAGCAGGAGAAAGAAUGGCAAGAAAUGAGACUGGAGACAUGGGAAUGCACCAGGUCCCAUACAUCCUUAAAGAUGAAAGCUAUGGCUGCCUGUCCUCAACGCAUUGGAGUUGGUGGCUUCAUGUGUGACAGAUGUCGUGCACCAAUACGACCACCCAGGAAGGACAAAUGCACUUCAAAUACCUACACAUGCCCCUCAGAUAAGAAAUACUUUUUAAAGAAAAGUGGAAAAAUAAUUCUCACACUUUAUAACUAAUCUGUAUUCUUUAGAUGCAUUUGAAAGUAUCUUUUAUUAUAAAACCCAAACUUGAAGUAAGAAAUUUAAAAGAACCAAGAUUGUGGAAAAGGAAAUGUAAGUUCCUAUUUCCCAAUUCAGUUCCACAAUCCCAUAUCCCAGAGGUGCCAUUGUUAACAGUGUUUUGGGUGUUCUUGCAGACAUCGUUCUUUUUAUACAACUAGGUAAAUGAAGUACCUAUUAUAUAUUUUAAUGCAAAUGGAAUCAUCUUACAUACAGUUUUGCAUUUUCAUUUUUUCAAUUAAAAUUGUCAGUACAUUUAAAUCUUUAUCUUCUUUUUAGUGCCUGUAUAUCAUCCCAUAUAGAGAUGUACCAUUAUUUAUUUUACCUGUUAAUGAUAAUUUACAUUGUUUCCUUUUUU
rnacentral:lncRNA from 1 species